UUUUUGAGAGAGAAAGAGGAGUGCUUUUAGUUUCUCCCAACAAAAGAGAGAUUUUAUGAGAGAGAAAGUUCAAAACAAAUUUUCUCCUCCUCCUUUCUCUGAAAUGUGAUUUUAAUUGAAUUAUGUUUACAAAAACUAGUUUAUUAAGCGAAAUACUAUUUCAAUUUCGCUAUUUUUUGAAUUUUUUUAUUCAUUCAAAGAGGUUUAUGUUGUUGAUGAAUGUGCAUCGGGUGAUUAAGGUGCACCAAGAGCACCAUGCACACCCCUGCACAAUCUGAGCGUUGGGCUCUAUCCGGUGGCACGAUCUGUAAAAUCAAUAUUUUUACUGUAUUUUGUACAAAAAUUAAAAAAUACGGAGUAUAUACUUUCUCCGUUUAGAUAUAGUUGCAUUGUCCAAAACAGCCUGGUCCAAGCAUAAACGGUCAUGUUUAUGUAUCUUGGGUUAUCAAAUUUUUGUUUUUCAGUCAGGUCCGGGUCGGUCCAGUCCUUAAAAAUGAAGGAUCAAAACUUUCCAUUUUUUUUCUUUUUUCCAAAUAAGUCUUGAAUUAUAUUCCCGGUGCUUCUGUUGUUAAUUUGAAGUGAGUCUCGGGUGAGCAGUUUCUAUUUUCACUUGCCGAAAGCAUGGACGGAAACUCCUACUGGCAUUCGAGUGACUGACAGACUUUAUUCCAAUUCUCCUCGGAACGCUGAAUUCGAUUGUUUUCCAAGAAUGUUGGUUGAACCGCUUAAGCAAAGCUUUUGGUCGGGUUCAAGAUAUAUGAAUGGUCUCAUAGGGGCCCUAGUGUCACGAUAUAGUGUCACGAUAUCCAAAAAGUAGCCCGAAGUGACUGACCAUAUAGUAUCAUUUUUCUUAAUCGAAGCUUUUGGAAAGAUUAAGCGAUUCAGACGGGUCGAGAUUUGGACCGGUGAACACCACAAUUAUAGUAGUAGUAAUAGUAGUAGUGACAAGAAGCAUGAUAUAUUUAGCUUGUAAGCUGCAUGCCUGCAUCUGCUAUGUAAAAAACACUCUGGUAGGUAGCCUACUUGAUUUGCAUCUUAUUAAUUGGGACAAUAGUGUCAAAAACCUAGUUGAUCACAUCAUGAAUAAGAACUCAAAGUAACUACCACGUACUCGUAGUUAAAAUUUCAAGAACAAUCUACCUUUAAAAUGAAAAUACCACCUACAG